rnacentral:rRNA from 1 species
AUGGGGUUCCUCCUGCUGCUUCACGUCCUCCUGGCCGCGACGGCGGCGGCGAGGGCUCCGGCGGCGCGGGCGUGGGGCGAGGAGGGCCACUUCAUGACCUGCAAGAUCGCCGAGGGCUUUCUGACGAGCGAGGCGUCGGCGGCGGUGAAGGAGCUCCUGCCGUCGUGGGCCAACGGCGAGCUCGCGGCGGCGUGCUCGUGGCCGGACGCCGUGCGGCGCCAGAUGCCGUGGUCCAGCUCCCUGCACUUCGCCGACACCCCCGGCGACUGCAAGUUCAGCUAUGCCAGGGACUGCCACGGCACGAAAGGGGAGAAGGACAUGUGCGUGGUGGGAGGCAUCAACAACUACACCGCCGCGCUCCAGGACUCCUCAAGCCCGUAUAACCGGACGGAGAGCCUGCUGUUCCUGUCGCACUUCCUGGGCGACAUCCACCAGCCCAUGCACUGCGGCCGCACCGCCGACCUCGGCGGCAACACCAUCCUCGUCCACUGGUACAACACGACCAAGACCAACCUUCACAAGGUGUGGGAUGUGAACGUCAUCGAAACGGCCCUCAACAGGUUCUACAAGGACGAUCUGAGCACCAUGAUCAACGCCAUCAAGCUCAACCUUACUAACGAGUGGUGUAAAGAAGAGAACCAGUGGGCGGCGUGCUAUCCUCGAACGACAACUUGCGCUGACAAGUACGCCGAGGAGAGCGCGGAGCUGUCGUGCCCCGCGUACGUGGGCGCUGAGCAAGGAUCCAACUUGGAAGAUGAGUACUUCUUCUCGGCGCUGCCGGUCGUCGAGAAGAGGAUUGCCCAGGGAGGCGUCAGGCUGGCGGCGAUCCUCAACCGGAUCUUCAGCGGGAAGAACAACAGCAGGAUUCAGAGCAGCUAA